rnacentral:rRNA from 1 species
CGGAGGGAUCAUUACGAAAAGGAGUUCUCGGACUCUUAAACCCUUUGUGAACCUUACCUAUCGUCAGUUGCUUCGGCGGGAGGCCCCUGGGAGGGGCCCCGGGGCCCGGCCUGAGCCGGGCUCCCGCCGGAGGAGCGCAAACCAAACUCUUGCUGUACCUCAGUGGAACAUCCGAGUUAAAAAUAAGAAACAAGUCAAAACUUUCAACAACGGAUCUCUUGGUUCUGGCAUCGAUGAAGAACGCAGCGAAAUGCGAUAAGUAAUGUGAAUUGCAGAAUUCAGUGAAUCAUCGAAUCUUUGAACGCACAUUGCGCCCGCCAGUAUUCUGGCGGGCAUGCCUGUUCGAGCGUCAUUUCAACCACUCAGGCCCUGGUGCCUGGCGUCGGGGUUUCUUGCUUCGGUAGAAUCCCCUAGAAUCAGUGGCGGACCCGCCGCGGCUCCGAGCGUAGUAGUAAAAUAUCUCGCUAUGGAGGUCCGUGGGGGGCUUACCGGCCGUAAAAGCUUUCUCUCGCGAGAAAAUUCUCAAGGUUGACCUCGGAUCAGGUAGGAAUACCCGCUGAACUUAAGCAUAUCAAUAAGCGGAGGAAAAGAAACCAACAGGGAUUGCCCCAGUAACGGCGAGUGAAGCGGCAACAGCUCAGAUUUGAAAUCUGGUCCCCAGGGCCCGAGUUGUAAU